UAUCUCGAUCUGACCUGAUGAGUGUGGGC
rnacentral:piRNA from 1 species